rnacentral:rRNA from 1 species
UGUCUAGUAUAAGCAAUUAUACCGUGAAACUGCGAAUGGCUCAUUAAAUCAGUUAUCGUUUAUUUGAUAGUACCUUACUACUUGGAUAACCGUGGUAAUUCUAGAGCUAAUACAUGCUAAAAACCCCGACUUCGGGAGGGGUGUAUUUAUUAGAUAAAAAACCAAUGCCCUUCGGGGCUCUUUGGUGAUUCAUGAUAACUUAACGGAUCGCAUGGCCUUGCGCCGGCGACGGUUCAUUCAAAUUUCUGCCCUAUCAACUUUCGAUGGUAAGGUAUUGGCUUACCAUGGUUUCAACGGGUAACGGGGAAUUAGGGUUCGAUUCCGGAGAGGGAGCCUGAGAAACGGCUACCACAUCCAAGGAAGGCAGCAGGCGCGCAAAUUACCCAAUCCCGACACGGGGAGGUAGUGACAAUAAAUACUGAUACAGGGCUCUUUUGGGUCUUGUAAUCGGAAUGAGUACAAUUUAAACCCCUUAACGAGGAACAAUUGGAGGGCAAGUCUGGUGGACACUCAGCUCCCAUUUUCUGCUGACGCCAGAGAUAGUCGGGCAUCUCCUCGGGAGGUGUUAUGCCGGCUAGUCGAUGUACCUACUGAAUUGAUGGGAAGGUACCGGCGAGACAACCUGGAUCGGGGAAGGCUAAGGCACCCUUGGGUGUUAUGCUAAUCCCGAGCAGAGCUGCCGCGGAGCGAUCUGCGGACAGCCUGUGUAGAGCGCGCUAAGGUGUCGGCCAGCUCACGUAGCUGGCUUAAGGGACGUGCCAUUCCCACCCGAAAGGGUGGCUGCCAGCAUGAGCGCCCAUCACGUAAGGGCUGGCAGGUUCAAACAUAGUCCGCAUACGGCCAGGGAUCCUUCCGUGUGUGUCCCUCCCGAGCGCAGACUGUUGUUGAACGUAUCAUUUUGAAAGGCCAGCAGCCGCGGUAAUUCCAGCUCCAAUAGCGUAUAUUAAAGUUGUUGCAGUUAAAAAGCUCGUAGUUGAACCUUGGGCCUGGCUGGCCGGUCCGCCUCACCGCGUGUACUGGUCCGGCCGGGCCUUUCCUUCUGGAGAGCCGCAUGCCCUUCACUGGGUGUGUUGGGGAACCAGGACUUUUACUUUGAAAAAAUUAGAGUGUUCAAAGCAGGCCUUUGCUCGAAUACGUUAGCAUGGAAUAAUAGAAUAGGACGUGCGGUCCUAUUUUGUUGGUUUCUAGGACCGCCGUAAUGAUUAAUAGGGAUAGUCGGGGGCAUCAGUAUUCAAUUGUCAGAGGUGAAAUUCUUGGAUUUAUUGAAGACUAACUACUGCGAAAGCAUUUGCCAAGGAUGUUUUCAUUAAUCAGUGAACGAAAGUUAGGGGAUCGAAGACGAUCAGAUACCGUCGUAGUCUUAACCGUAAACUAUGCCGACUAGGGAUCGGGCGAUGUUUCUAUCUUGACUCGCUCGGCACCUUACGAG